rfam:Hordeum vulgare subsp. vulgare, WGS project CAJW01000000 data, contig: morex_contig_2547537
UAAGUACUCCAUCCGUCUGAAAAUACUUGUCAUAGAAAUGGUUGUAUUUAGAUGUAUUUUAGUUCUAGGUACAUCCAUUUUUUCUACACUUUUGCGACAAGUAAUUUCGGACGGAGGGAGUAUAUA